rnacentral:rRNA from 1 species
UACGGGGAGUGCAAGCGUUGUUCGGAAUUAUUGGGCGUAAAGCGCGUGUAGGCGGCCUGUAAAGUCUGGAGUGAAAGCCCUCGGCUCAACCGAGGAAGUGCUUUGGAUACUAACAGGCUUGAGUCCUGGAGGGGCGGGUGGAAUUCCCAGUGUAGAGGUGAAAUUCGUAGAUAUUGGGAGGAACACCAGUGGCGAAGGCGGCCCGCUGGACAGUGACUGACGCUGAGACGCGAAAGCGUGGGGAGCAAACAGG